CCUUUGUCAGAUGAGUAGAUUGCAAAAAUUUUCUCCCAUUCUGUAGGUUGCCAGGCCAUGUCUUAAUUGGAUGAGUCAGCAUUUGAACCCAGAUCAGCAGUUCAUUGCUUGUUCUAAAGCAACGUGGCACCUCUGAAGAACUAAAAGGGGCCUAACCACAGAAGUGUUGCCAGCAGUUCUAUGUGGCUUAUGCAGCCUGGUGUGUGGGCACAGCCGUUCACUGGCUCUCAGUAAAUCUUGAAAAUAGCCCAGGACCACAGCCCAAUGAACAGCUGAACGAAAACACUCAGAGCAUGAAGAAUGCCUUGCACAGCUGCCUGACAAGCUGUAUUUUCCCAUUUGGCAGGUGAAGUUCUCUCCAGAAAAUGGUCAUCUCAUGAUCCAAAGUAGCUGGGAGAGCUGCAGCCAUCUCAACACAUUCCUGGCAGCAAGAAGGAGGAAGAGCAGAAAU